GCAGACACAUUCCAGCCAAUCAGCAGCAGACCCUCCCUCCCAGACCCUCCCACCUCCUGGACAGCAUCCAUUUUACAUUCAUUGUGAAGCUGCAUUCUUAGUGAACUGUCCAGGAGGUGGGAGGGUCUGGGAGGGAGGGUCUGCUGCUGAUUGGCUGGAAUGUGUCUG